AGAAUCGAGGGUUCUGUGACAGCUCCUCAUCUCCGCCCUGAUAUUAUUACUAUUAUUAUUAUUAUUAUUUCUUACAUACAUAGAUUAAAUUCCUAGGACUUUGUGGCAAACUCACCUUAGGGAAGCAGCUAAGCUUUAGGCUAUUUGAAUUCGAGGUGGUGCAGAGUAUAAAGUGCGCAGGUAAGAACGGGGCUCCCUCUGUCAGUCAUGUGCAAGGACUCUAUCUAGCCCUUUGAGCUUUCCCUGAAGAAUUUCAGCUUGUUAUCGGGGCCACCCAAUGACCGACGAAAGAUUCCCCCCUGCCUUUGCCUUUUCCCCAAGGCUGCUUUUAGCCAAAUCAAUCCAGCUUUUAGGCCCGAGCUGUGUCGCGGGAGAUGGAAAGGUGUACUCCGUGGAGGCGCCGAGAAGCUAGAGGCUCUCGGUUCCGAUAAAGACAUUCCACGCCGGCGCCGAGACACUCCCGGGUGUCCACGAAGAAUGCGGCCGAGCCCUGGGGUGCCAGGCCCUGCGGCCUCGAGCCGGGCCACUCAGGGCUGAAGCUACGCUUCCCAGACACACCGUCUCUCACUUUGCAGGAGAAAAGAAAGGAAAGGAAAGAACACUUCGCUGACCUCAGUGGGGCAUAGUUGCCAACCCGUUUUAAUGCUUUUCUGAUAGCGGGUAACGUGACAAAAUCAAGCCACCCCGACCUUCUGGGCCACUCCCUGUGGUUUUGCAAGUGUUGCUCCACUUCUGGGGGUGGUGAACAGACCGUUCAGAAGCGGUGAUCCCGGUUGGGUGGAACCGCCAAGCUAAGGUCACCAGGUUCCAGAUGCUACCAUAAUGCCAGCCUGACUCUCAUGGGCAGAGGACCCCACCAAUUUGUCUUGGAGACCCACCUCCCCAAACUCCUGCCCCACUAGGGAAAGAAAGAGACAGGCUGGGAGUAUGGAUUGACCUGCCAACACCCAUCUUCAGAGAAGAAGCAAUAACAGAAGCCAGACCUUCCACCUUCUUCACCUCAUAAUGAUCCUGGGUCCAUACUCCCGAAGGAAUAAAGUUUUCAAGGGAGGGGAUGGGAUAGGGAGUUCUGGUG